AGUGAACGCUGGCGGUAGGCCUAACACAUGCAAGUCGAACGGCAGCACAGUAAGAGCUUGCUCUUACGGGUGGCGAGUGGCGGACGGGUGAGGAAUACAUCGGAAUCUACUUUUUCGUGGGGGAUAACGUAGGGAAACUUACGCUACUACCGCAUACGACCUACGGGUGAAAGCAGGGGAUCUUCGGACCUUGCGCGAUUGAAUGAGCCGAUGUCGGAUUAGCUAGUUGGCGGGGUAAAGGCCCACCAAGGCGACGAUCCGUAGCUGAUCUGAGAGGAUGAUCAGCCACACUGGAACUGAGACACGGUCCAGACUCCUACGGGAGGCAGCAGUGGGGAAUAUUGGACAAUGGGCGCAAGCCUGAUCCAGCCAUACCGCGUGAGUGAAGAAGGCCUUCGGGUUGUAAAGCCCUUUUGUUGGGAAAGAAAAGCAGCAGGUUAAUACCCCGCUGUUCUGACGGUACCCAAAGAAUAAGCACCGGCUAACUUCGUG
rnacentral:rRNA from 1 species